rnacentral:tRNA from 1 species
GCCUGGGUGGCUCAGCGGGUUGAGCGUCCGACUUCGGCUCAGGUCAUGAUCUCGUGGUUCGUGAGUUCAAACCCCACGUCGGGCU